rnacentral:tRNA from 1 species
CAUUAGAUGGCCGAAAGUUAAGCAAUGGAAUUUUAAAUCAUUUUAUAUUAAAGUAACGUUUAUUUCUAAUGA